GUGGGGAAUUUUGGACAAUGGGCGCAAGCCUGAUCCAGCAAUGCCGCGUGCAGGAAGAAGGCCUUCGGGUUGUAAACUGCUUUUGUACGGAACGAAACGGCUCUGGUUAAUACCCGGGGCUAAUGACGGUACCGUAAGAAUAAGCACCGGCUAACUACGUGCCAGCAGCCGCGGUAAUACGUAGGGUGCAAGCGUUAAUCGGAAUUACUGGGCGUAAAGCGUGCGCAGGCGGUUUUGUAAGACAGGCGUGAAAUCCCCGGGCUCAACCUGGGAAUGGCGCUUGUGACUGCAAAGCUGGAGUGCGGCAGAGGGGGAUGGAAUUCCGCGUGUAGCAGUGAAAUGCGUAGAUAUGCGGAGGAACACCGAUGGCGAAGGCAAUCCCCUGGGCCUGCACUGACGCUCAUGCACGAAAGCAUGGGGAGCAAACAGGAUUAGAUACCCUAGUAGUCC
rnacentral:rRNA from 1 species